GUCUUUUUGAGUUAUUUUUAAAGUCUAACCUGCCCACUGAGUAUUUAAAUGGCCGCAGUAUUUUAACUGUGCAAAGGUAGCAUAAUCAUUAGUCUUUUAAUUGAAGGCUGGUAUGAACGGUUGGACGAAGUAUAAGCUGUUUCAUAUAAAAUUAGAUUAGAAUUUUAUAUUUUAGUUAAAAAGCUAAAAUUUAAGUAAAAGACGAGAAGACCCUAUAAAUCUUUAUAUUUUUAGGAUAUUUUAAUUUUUUGGAUUUAUUUUAUUAUUAUAUGUAAAAAUAUUUUAUUGGGGUGAUAUUAAAAUUUAAUAAACUUUUAAUUUUAUUAAAUCAUUAAUUUAUGAAUUAUUGAUCCGUUAAUAACGAUUAAAAAAUUAAGUUACUUUAGGGAUAACAGCGUAAUUUUUUUUGAGAGUUCAUAUCGAUAAAAAAGUUUGCGACCUCGAUGUUGGAUUAAGAUAAAUUUUUAGGUGUAGCUGUUUAAAAAUAAAGUCUGUUCGACUUUUUAAUUCUU
rnacentral:rRNA from 1 species